rfam:Oryza rufipogon genomic scaffold, chr06
UUUAAAUGUAACCAUAAGUUUCCGUGCUUAUUUUUGAUUGUCCGUUUUAUUUGAAUUUGGUUUAUAAUUAGUAUUUUUAUUGUUAAGAGAUGAUAAAACAUGAAUAAUAUUUUAUAUAUAACUUAUAUUUUUAUUUUUAAAAAAAAUUUUAAGUAAGAUGGACAAUUAAAGUUGUAUACGGAAAAUCAUGGCUGCACUUAAA